AGUGGGAACAGGUUUCUGGAAGGGAGGAACAGCGUGUGCAAACAGUCUGAGCCCAGACAACCACCAUGAGCUAAGGGAAGGGCCGUGUGGCUGAGCGUUCUGGACCUGCUGGAAGAGGAGCUGAGAGGCAGAGCGAGAGUAGCCUGCUACCUGCAUUUAAUUGCUUCAUAGUGGUGACCACAUAAUUCUGAUCCAGUGAACAACCAACAUAUUCCACCCUCACCAUCUCUCUCUACUAAGAGAGAUGAUAGCACAGUAAUAUAGAAGGCAGGGAGGAGUCUAUAUGUCAUGCCAUUUUUUUCUUCAGAGAAGCCCGCUGUGGGAACCACCGUGAAGAGCAUCUCUCACGUGUUGUAUUGGUUAGGAUGCUCACGCAUAGGGGUUUGUUAUCUCAUUUAACGAGGAGGUCCCAGACAGGAGGUGGCUUGGUUCGGCAGCUCAACUCAUCUUCAAACACGCAGGCCCCCCUCUGUCUCCUGGCCCUGCCACUCUCUGAACACUGACUUGGAUUUCAGGCUUGUCACCUCAUGGACCCAAGAUAGCUGCCAUGGUUCCAGGCAACACAUGUAAUCUCAACAACAUUCAGCCAAAGAAGAGGCUCCUGAACUCGUCCUGUUCUAGCCUGACCAAUCUUCUAAAUCUGCGUCCCUGCCUUCACAACUGUUCCAUUACUAUUGCUGUUGUGAAUAACCAACAUUCAUGGGACAGCUACUGUGCCUGGGACACUGGACUAGGCACUUUAUAUGAAGUCACAUGAUCUGUGCCAGUUCAUAGCUUCUUACCAUUUUGCAGGUGGGGAAAUGAACAUCAACUAACUUCAGUAAAUUGCCCAAGGUCACCAACAUAGCAGAGCUGGGAUUGGAACAUGGAUCUGAUUCUAGAGCUCAGGCUCUUAAAACCAGGAAGCUGUGCUGCUCAAAUUUCUUUCAAGACUGACAAGAUGCCUUUCUCUCACUGGUUUCCAGCAUGCCACCUGCCACCAUCACCCCAAGACAUGCAAUUCAUGCCUCCCAGGGCAGCCACGCCUGAGGCACCAACUGCAGCUCCAGCUCUACUCUUGCAGAACUUCAGGAUACUGAGUACCUUCUGCUCUGCCAGCCCCGUACUCCCUACCCUUCCUACAGCAUCCAUCCUCAAGCCCUUGUGCUUCACUGCAGCUGUGUCUGGUCUUGGACUUGGACAGCCUUAGCUAGGUCAUCCUACCACUGACCAAAGUCUAGCUCAGACACUAACCUUUAUGCUGCAUCCAUCAUCUCAUUCGUCUCCUCCGGCCCUCCUCGCCCCACUGUCCUCAUCUCUUUGAGCUGCUAUAAUACAUUACCAUAGACUGGGCAACUUAUAAGCAACAGAAAUCUAUUCUAGCUUUAUCUCAGGCUGAAAAUCUGAGAUCAAGGUGCUGGCAUGGUUAGGGUCUGGUGAGGGCCCUCCUGCAGGUUGCAAACAGCCCAUUUCUUGCUGUGUCCUUGAGCGGCAGAAGGAGCUACCUAGCUCUACAGUCUCAAAUGCACAAAUCCGGCCGGGCGCGGUGGCUCACUCCUGUAAUCCCAGCACUUUGGGAGGCCGAGGCAGGCGGAUCACGAGGUCAGGAGAUCGAGACCAUCCUGGCUAACAUGGUGAAACCUCGUCUUUAUUAAAAAAAUACAAAAAAUUAGCCAGGCGUGGUGGUAGGUGCCUGUAGUCCCAGCUACUUGGGAGGCUGAGGCAGGAGAAUGGCGUGAACCCAGGAGGUGGAGCUUGCAGUGAGCCGAGAUCGCGCCACUGCACUCCAGCCUGGACGACAGAGCAAGACUCUAUCUCAAAAAAAAAAAAAGCACAAAUCCCAUUCAUGAGGGCUCCACCCUUAUGAUGUAAUCUCCCAAAGGGCCCAUCUCCUAUCACCCUGGGCUUCAACACUGGAAUUUUGAGGGGACACAUACAUUCAGACCAUCGCGCACCCACUAACCCUUAAAGGUGGACAAUUUCCAGUGUAUAUCUAUGCUCAGCCAACUUCUCUUCUGUGUACAGUCUCUAUCAAACAUUGCAUCAGUUCCCAUGAUUUCAACUGUUAUUUCCCGUAGAUGCCUUCUGCACUGGUACCCUCACCCCCGACCUCACUGCUAAAUCUCAGUUUUGCAUUUCCACCUCCCAGUGUCAUCUUUCUAGAGACUUGAGAUCAGUAUCUCCAAAAUAAAGCUCAUGUCUUCUGUCCCACUCCUGCUCCAGUCCACGCCUUCUGUCUUCUUCAUUUCAGACAACGGCACCUACCUUCUGUCUGCUGUGGUUCAUUUAUUCAUCAAAUUGUCAAUGGAGUACUGCAUUCCAUGAGCCCAAAGAAUCGCCCCACCUUGUUCCCUCUCCCUUCCUCAUGGCUGGUCUGUUGCAAGUCCUGAUGAAUCUAGCCAUUGUUUUCAGAAUAUGCCUUCUAGUCUUUGGCAAUUCUGGUCUUUUAAAAGGAAUGUUGUCCACUUGUGCAAACAGAAUAAUUUAGGCUCCCUCCUUCAAAAAAAGAAAAUCUGAAAUCAGAAAUAUGAGUCUCCAUUAAAGAAUUAACUUUAAAUUAAAGGGAAAUUAUGAAAUCACUUAAACUGAAAAGGCACUAUGUAUCUGGAUGCUGUGCUGUACAGUUUCUUUAUCUUACUUUUAAGGCUACUGAAUAUAUAACCUAAUGCAUUAAAGAGCUUUGUUUGGCCAAGUAGGCAGGUAGAAACAUAGGACUUUAAAUCAGAUUAAAUGCUUUGUUCACUAUCAACA
rnacentral:lncRNA from 10 species